CCCCUAGAUGUUCUGGGCCGCACGCGCGCUACACUGAACAGUUCAACAAGUCUUAACCUUGGCCGAUAGGUCUGGGUAAUCUUUGAACGCUGUUCGUGAUUGGGAUAGACCUUUGCAAUUAUGGGUCUUCAACGAGGAAUUCCUAGUAAACGCAAGUCAUCAGCUUGCAUUGAUUACGUCCCUGCCCUUUGUACACACCGCCCGUCGCACCUACCGAUUGAAUGGUCCGGUGAAAUCUCGGGACGGCGGCUUGGUCGCUUGCGUCCGACUGCUGAAACUUGAUUAAACCAUAUCAUUUAGAGGAAGGUGAAUUCGUAACA
rnacentral:rRNA from 1 species